AAUUGCCGUGCUUUUAGAGGAAAUGUUUUAAAUAAUAAAAAGACCGUAGCAAUAAUAAAAAGACAUGUUUUCAACGUUUUAUUUUUUAUAAUGACUUUCACCAUAAUGUCGUACAUAUUCUUUAAUUAAUUUCUUUUUUAGUAGCAGGUAUAUUACCUUACAGCAAAUUGAUGUAGAUUUUGCUACCGCAAUACAUUUGUUGCCGUAGACCGCAGAUUACCGUAGAACAUGAACGGCAAAUGUCCUGAGCCGUAACAAUGGCAACAUUGCGUAAAGUAACUGACGGUUGGGUUGGGUACCUGACCGUCAUAAGGUGUGUAGCAAUAUCAUCCUCAUUUUGGUCGGGCACAACCAAAAUGGGACGGGUAUUAAUCUAGACUGAAAUCUACAACCUGGGUACGAGCUCCAAACAAAAUUACCCAUUACUUCAUUAAAACGGGGUGAAUAGGGAUCGAGAGUUGAAUAGGGACAGAAGAGGGGUAAAUAGAUACUAUGAAAAAUUUCCCUGUAUCUAUUCACCCCUCUAAACCUCUCGAUCCCUAUUCACCUCGUUUUACGGUUAUUGUUUACGAAUAGAGGGUAUCUAAUGCUUUGGUUGCCUCUAUGGUUUUGUGACAGAAAACCGAUUCAACCCGUCUAUGACAUUUGACAAUGACAGAUAACCUAAGAGUAAUAUAAAAUUACAGUAUUUACAGUGUUUGGAGGUGAAUGACAAGUUGAAAGAUAAACCAUGGCUACAAACUAUGCACAGUAUUCUCAAUUAAUAAAAGCUUCGACGAACUACGCACGACGUAUGCAGCGCCUAUCUAAUAGAAUCUUCGGUGAGGUAGCAAUUCCCACAAAUUCCAAAUCCAUGAAAGUGGUUAAGAUGUUUUCUGAGCGGCCGCUGCACACCAACGAGGAAAUCAUUCACUAUUAUCCUCGACAUGUCGAGACACAUAGCUUGAUGCUUAAACUAAGGGAAUAUGGGUUAUUCAGAGAUGAACACCAAGACUUUAAGGACGAAAUGAAAAGGCUGCGGGAACUCAGGGGCAAAGUUAAAGUGUGGAGGAGAAAGUUAGACCAAAAGUCCGAAUAAUUGUGGAACAAACAAUUGAACUGUAGUUUUACUUGAAAGUGUGCUAAAGUGGAGCUACGCUUGAACUGUACAGUUUAAUUGUUACGAGUGUAGCAUGUAUUAAUCAAUCAAGUUGAUGCUUGUAGAGCAUUUCAGAACUUGUUUAAUAGAUUGACCUAUUUAUUAGUCUUUAUUUUGGUUUAGAUGUUUUGUUAAUAAAAUAAAAUCUCCAUCAUA